UUGCUUCGGUAAUUGACCUAGCGGCGGACGGGUGAGUAAUACUUAGGAAUCUGCCUAUUAAUGGGGGACAACAUCUCGAAAGGGAUGCUAAUACCGCAUACGCCCUACGGGGGAAAGCAGGGGAUCACUUGUGACCUUGCGUUAAUAGAUGAGCCUAAGUCGGAUUAGCUAGUUGGUGGGGUAAAGGCCUACCAAGGCGACGAUCUGUAGCGGGUCUGAGAGGAUGAUCCGCCACACUGGGACUGAGACACGGCCCAGACUCCUACGGGAGGCAGCAGUGGGGAAUAUUGGACAAUGGGGGGAACCCUGAUCCAGCCAUGCCGCGUGUGUGAAGAAGGCCUUAUGGUUGUAAAGCACUUUAAGCGAGGAGGAGGCUCUUUUGGUUAAUACCCAAGAUGAGUGGACGUUACUCGCAGAAUAAGCACCGGCUAACUCUGUGCCAGCAGCCGCGGUAAUACAGAGGGUGCGAGCGUUAAUCGGAUUUACUGGGCGUAAAGCGUGCGUAGGCGGCUUUUUAAGUCGGAUGUGAAAUCCCCGAGCUUAACUUGGGAAUUGCAUUCGAUACUGGGAAGCUAGAGUAUGGGAGAGGAUGGUAGAAUUCCAGGUGUAGCGGUGAAAUGCGUAGAGAUCUGGAGGAAUACCGAUGGCGAAGGCAGCCAUCUGGCCUAAUACUGACGCUGAGGUACGAAAGCAUGGGGAGCAAACAGGAUUAGAUACCCUGGUAGUCCAUGCCGUAAACGAUGUCUACUAGCCGUUGGGGUCUUUGAGACUUUAGUGGCGCAGCUAACGCGAUAAGUAGACCGCCUGGGGAGUACGGUCGCAAGACUAAAACUCAAAUGAAUUGACGGGG
rnacentral:rRNA from 1 species